rnacentral:RNase_P_RNA from 1 species
CGAGUCAGCCGAGAUAAUCGCUGCCUGCAACGAAAAUGCGCAGGGGGAGGAAAGUCCGGGCUCCACAGGGCAGGGUGCCAGCUAACGGCUGGGGGGCGCGAGCCUACGACAAGUGCAGCAGAGAGGAGACCGCCAACUUUGGUUGGUAAGGGUGAAAGGGUGCGGUAAGAGCGCACCGGGCCACUGGUAACAGUUGGUUGCAAGGUAAACUCCACCCGGAGCAAGACCAAAUAGGGUUCCUUAUGGCGUGGCCCACGUUGGAACCGGGUAGGUUGCUUGAGCCAUAGAGCAAUUUAUGGCCUAGACGAAUGAUUAUCCACGACAGAACCCGGCUUAUUGGCUGACUCACCAA